CUACGUCACACGGCCUAGUUAGACUUAAAAAGUAACAAAAAAUGUCUUUAUUAACACGAGAUAUUUAACGACAUUGGUGCACGGAGUUCUAAUAGAAUUAAUUUAAAGAGGAUUAAAGCCGCAUUUUUUUUGCAUUUUGUCUUUCUGUCCGUCAUGUUAAUAUAAAAAAAAAACAACUAAAAAUUAUUGAAAAUUUAAUUAAGCAUUAAUU